rnacentral:lncRNA from 1 species
CUGGGGCUGAGAUGGAAGUUAGUUUCUCUGUAGCAGAAAUAGGAAACAAAUGAAGCAAAACUGCCCAAAGAGGGGAAAUGCCCCGAGGACGAGUCUCGCUCUCACGCGCGCGCACAGACACUACACGCAGAGAGCACUCUCACGCUGGGCAAACUCGGGAUCGCGCUACCCUGCCCGAGUUGAAUGAUAGUGUUUGGUUUCUGUCUCUUUGCCAUGUGCAUGUGUAUAAAUGCUGCGGAUGGGCAUCUGUGUAAGUCUUGUCCUGCGUUAUUUCUGCAGCCUAUGCAAAGUGUUGUGUAAUUUAUUGGAGUGCUGUAUAUUGCCAUAGAGGUUUCAGGCGCUUUUUGUUAGAAGCGCUUGAGUUUGCGAGCCCGUUAUUUGCUGUAGCCACCUCUGCAUAUCUUUUAUUACUGCCAUUGCCUUAAGCGUACAUUAAAAAAAAAUUUUUUUUUUAUUGUUAUCUGGGCACAGCGAACUCCUGAUCUGUACUUCAGAGACUCUUUUUCCUCUUACAAAAAGGCUAGUAAUGGCUAAUUAGGGAUUUGGGAUUGAAGAACCUUAAAGCUUUUUUAAGUGUUUACAAGAAGGAGUAAUGUAAACCUGAGAGAAAGGCAAGAACGCUAAUAUUUAUCUCUUAACUUAUCUGGAGGUAAUGUGGUGACAAAUCAAUAAUCUAACCGAAGGAUAAUGAAAGAGUAUAGAACACUUUAGUCGAGGUGAUUGGUGAUUAAAUAAUUUAAAUUAUCUGUGUAUCUUGCAGUUGACUUCGUCACGCUAAUUAAUGGCUUCUAAUUUGAGGUGUAAACCAUUCCUGUUUACAGUUUCAAGGGGAAGACUUCUUGAAAACUGAUGAAAAGAAAGAAAAUUAAUCUUUCGUAAAUUAGUGUGUAAUUACCGGGUUUAUAUGCUAAAUCAUACGUCUGUCCUUUGCUGAUGAGGAUAAGGGCCUUGUUUUUUAAAAAACGAAUAUGGGUGAAAUUAAUGGAAACAAUGGAAAAAGCCAUUUGUUAGGCAACAAGGACACCAAGUGAUAUUUAUCUCCAGAUGAUUUAAGCACUUUUCAAAAAGACUUGAGAGUUGAUUUUUGUUUUUAAGGAUUGCAUUUUAAAGGGAAUUAGCAUAGUGGUUCUUUUGUUAACAUUUAACAAAAGAGGCUCCCUAAAAAAAUUUAGAUAAUAAACUGCAUUUUAUGGACCCGGUCUAAAAAGGUUAUUUGUGGGGAAAUGACCCACAAGCUGCAUUGUGCUUUUCUAGAUUGCUUCCUCAACCCUUGUACCCUCCAAGCUCCUUACAUUCCUAAUGGGAAAUACUUGCUGCAACUGCCGUGGGCUGCAUUGCAAGACUGCACCGGUGUGAUGCCUUGUACUGAAACAGCCAGAAAUCACCAUACAUGUGAGAGGGGGAAAAAACACCUAAACCUCUUUGGAAUAAUGGGAUGUAAAAAAUUGCCUUUUAUAACAAUCUUAACCAAAUGUUUUUAAAAAGAGAAGUUACCAUGACUUGUGCUAUGGCAGCCGAGUUAUCAGAGUCACUGUUAUUUCUUGAAAUGGCUAUCCUUCAAGUCCUGAAAAUAUUUGCAUUUUUAAAGACAUUAAUCCAUUUUAUGUAUUAUAGGUAAAGUAGCUUGCUUCUAGCUGGUUAGGUUUGAAAAGAUGGACAUUUAAUAUGCCUUUUUGAAAUUCUGUUUAUUUCUAUGACAAAUGCUCCCUAUUUUAUCUUAACUUUUUAGAAGUAUCUUUCUUCAGUAACUGUGGGGUGGUUUUUUUUGCAUUAUGAUCUUCAAAUAAACAGAUUUUUAGAAACUAAAAAUUACAGUUAGAAUUUUGAAGUUUUAAAAUGCAUGUAUUACCCUGAUUCUUACUAAUAGAUGUUUUAUCCUUGCUAAGGAAAAUAAACCAAAUUAUGACAUGGAAUAUAAAAUUACUCUGGGUAAAGUUUUCUAUAUAUAUCGUUAGUAUUAUGUAAACAUGGAGAGCUAGUAUGACUAUCUCAUGUAUGCUUUUCAUUUAUAAGCUUUUCUUAAGUAUGCUACUAGUACUUAGCUCCUAAAACAAUUUUAAGGAAAAUCUUCCUUGUAAAUUUUCUGAAUAUGAUGUUCCUAUCAUUUUGACUAACCUUUGACAAUGUUUAUAGUUUUUUUUCGAAGACCUAAUUUAAAGAAUAGUUUUAGCCUGCCUUUGAACUAAUUUAUAACUAUCAAUCUGUUAUGAGAAAAUGUAGGUUAAAUUGCUAAAAAUGAAAACUUUU